rnacentral:rRNA from 1 species
GAUGAACGCUGGCGGCGUGCCUAAUACAUGCAAGUCGAGCGAACAGAUGAGGAGCUUGCUCCUCUGACGUUAGCGGCGGACGGGUGAGUAACACGUGGAUAACCUACCUAUAAGACUGGGAUAACUUCGGGAAACCGGAGCUAAUACCGGAUAAUAUAUUGAACCGCAUGGUUCAAUAGUGAAAGACGGUUUUGCUGUCACUUAUAGAUGGAUCCGCGCCGCAUUAGCUAGUUGGUAAGGUAACGGCUUACCAAGGCGACGAUGCGUAGCCGACCUGAGAGGGUGAUCGGCCACACUGGAACUGAGACACGGUCCAGACUCCUACGGGAGGCAGCAGUAGGGAAUCUUCCGCAAUGGGCGAAAGCCUGACGGAGCAACGCCGCGUGAGUGAUGAAGGUCUUCGGAUCGUAAAACUCUGUUAUUGGGGAAGAACAAAUGUGUAAGUAACUAUGCACGUCUUGACGGUACCUAAUCAGAAAGCCACGGCUAACUACGUG